GAAGCCCAGCCGCAUGCUCUUGUCCUCCGCCUCCGUGUACUCGUAGGCCGGGCGGCUCCGCGCCAUGGCCGCGCUCCGCCGCCGGGGCCGCGCCGUCGGGGCCGCCUGGCAGCCGCUGCCAUGAGGGUUGGCCUGAUGUCCUCCUACCUCAACAAGACUUUUAGGUGACUCAGCAGACCAUGAGGAGUGCGAGUACUCUGGUCUGUCCAGUCCGAGACCCAGAUCUGACAUUUGGGGAGUACAGACAGACCCAGCUGCUGAAUCGUUCGUCAUCGUUUGAAGAUAAAAGGUCCUUCUCCAUCCUGUGCCUGAGGCGCAGGCUUACCUGUGGCUAGCAGCAAGACACCUAUCACUUAACAGAAGACAGUGUGCAUGUUGCACGGUGAAGGCACCUCCGUCUUGGUUAUGGGACGGAAGCAUAUCCAUAUCUCUAGACUGCGCGGGACCUCGGGUAUCUCUGCACGCCUCCCUAGCUAAAAGGCUGGGCAUCACUCACCUGCCCCACGGAUAAUGUACAUUAACAAGACUAUCUUGUCUAGCAUGAACGAGCCAUGAGACUGGUUCUCCGCACCAAUCUCUGUGUGAGAAUUACUUUGUGUAAGCAAACAGGCAGAGGGCUGGAACGAGCUCCGUGAGGCCACGUGCCGGUUUUCUUGUGAUAGUGGCCCAGAGAUGGUCCCCGUAACACCUCUCACAGAACUGUCUUGCAGUCUUCCAUAAAAGCACCAAUAACAAACUAAAACAUGUCCUUUUCAAAUCUACUGUCACAGUAUUCUGUGACACCCAACAGGAAACAGCUUGGACUUUGAAGGCAGGAAGAUCACAUGUAGCUGGCAAACACACCAUGGUGAGGAGAAAAAACCCCAACCCUCUAUCCAAAAAAAAUUGUAGAGAGAACUGAGGAGUAGCUACAAAAUUUCAGGUAUUCUGAAACUGUUCACUUCAUUGGAUGCAGCUGAAUGAGAAAGAGCAGUCACGUCAAGAAAAAGGGAACUAUUGAAAUGGUUUGGGAUUUUCUUCUUCCACUUUCGAGAACAGUGGCAAUGUUUUGCAGAAACAACAUAUUCGUGUUUGCUCCAGUUCAGGUAGCUCAAGUAGUAAUGAUCAUCAGAUGAAACGUACUUCUACUUUAAGUGGUAAGAGA